ACUGGAGAAAAAGAUCAGAGAUGGAUCUUGAAAGUAUGCGCGACAGAAGAAGAGUUUUCUCUCUGCUCAUCCCGUGCAUCCGUGCGUGUGCCGACUCCGAGUGUUGCCACGAUGAUGCUGGAGAAUCAAACGGAGGGUUUGUUGAACCGAAGGCUGUGAGGAAGGAUGUUUGCGUCUGUGCUUGAAGCGACAGAUUCAGUGUGAACGAAUGCAGAGCGACGCAGCUCUCUGCUGUCGUUCACCAGCACACACGCUUCAAACCACCCUGAACAUGCAUGAAGGGCAGAGGAACAGGGGACUGAGGCAUGAUGGGAAACGACUGAAAGCGGGUCAGUCAGCUUUAAAUUGUGUUUUAUUAUUACAUGCAGAUAUGCAUUUCUUGGGGAUCUGCUCUGUUUCCCAUGAUGCAGCAGUAAUGCUGACACAUCAGAUUACUUCUCAUGUGACGUCGCAGCAAGGACAAUGACAGCUAGUGCUAACAGAGCAUAAAUAGAAAAUAUGUAUGUUUGUAUGUAUGUGUUUAGGGAGGUUUAUAAAAUGUAUUACAUUUUAAAAUAAAAUGGAUAAAAUAUAAAAUAAAAUAUUUUCU
ensembl:lncRNA